GUCGAGCGGACAGAAGGGAGCUUGCUCCCGGAUGUUAGCGGCGGACGGGUGAGUAACACGUGGGUAACCUGCCUGUAAGACUGGGAUAACUCCGGGAAACCGGAGCUAAUACCGGAUAGUUCCUUGAACCGCAUGGUUCAAGGAUGAAAGACGGUUUCGGCUGUCACUUACAGAUGGACCCGCGGCGCAUUAGCUAGUUGGUGGGGUAAUGGCUCACCAAGGCGACGAUGCGUAGCCGACCUGAGAGGGUGAUCGGCCACACUGGGACUGAGACACGGCCCAGACUCCUACGGGAGGCAGCAGUAGGGAAUCUUCCGCAAUGGACGAAAGUCUGACGGAGCAACGCCGCGUGAGUGAUGAAGGUUUUCGGAUCGUAAAGCUCUGUUGUUAGGGAAGAACAAGUGCGAGAGUAACUGCUCGCACCUUGACGGUACCUAACCAGAAAGCCACGGCUAACUACGUGCCAGCAGCCGCGGUAAUACGUAGGUGGCAAGCGUUGUCCGGAAUUAUUGGGCGUAAAGGGCUCGCAGGCGGUUUCUUAAGUCUGAUGUGAAAGCCCCCGGCUCAACCGGGGAGGGUCAUUGGAAACUGGGAAACUUGAGUGCAGAAGAGGAGAGUGGAAUUCCACGUGUAGCGGUGAAAUGCGUAGAGAUGUGGAGGAACACCAGUGGCGAAGGCGACUCUCUGGUCUGUAACUGACGCUGAGGAGCGAAAGCGUGGGGAGCGAACAGGAUUAGAUACCCUGGUAGUCCACGCCGUAAACGAUGAGUGCUAAGUGUUAGGGGGUUUCCGCCCCUUAGUGCUGCAGCUAACGCAUUAAGCACUCCGCCUGGGGAGUACGGUCGCAAGACUGAAACUCAAAGGAAUUGACGGGGGCCCGCACAAGCGGUGGAGCAUGUGGUUUAAUUCGAAGCAACGCGAAGAACCUUACCAGGUCUUGACAUCCUCUGACAACCCUAGAGAUAGGGCUUUCCCUUCGGGGACAGAGUGACAGGUGGUGCAUGGUUGUCGUCAGCUCGUGCCCUGAGAUGUUGG
rnacentral:rRNA from 1 species